CCUACGUGUGGCAGCAGUGAGGAAUAUUGGUCAAUGGACGCAAGUCUGAACCAGCCAUGCCGCGUGCAGGACGACGGCUCUAUGAGUUGUAAACUGCUUUUGUACGAGGGUAAACGCAGAUACGCGUAUCUGUCUGACAGUAUCGUACGAAUAAGGAUCGGCUAACUACGUGCCAGCAGCCGCGGUAAUACGGAGGGUUCAAGCGUUAUCCGGAUUUAUUGGGUUUAAAGGGUGCGUAGGCGGUCGGACAAGUCAGAGGUGAAAUCCCUAGGCUCAACUUCGGAAUGGCCUUUGAUACUGUUCGGCUAGGGAGUAGUUGCGGUAGGCGGAAUGUAUGGUGGAGCGGUGAAAUGCUU
rnacentral:rRNA from 1 species